rnacentral:rRNA from 1 species
ACUUAGGGGAACUCUGGGUGCACUUCUUCGCUUGGCAGGUCAACGUCGAUUUUGAAUGUCAUAAAAUAAUUGGGGGAAGGUAGCUCCUUCGGGAGUGUUAUAGCCCUUGAUAGAUGUGAUGUUUGGGGUCGAGGAUUGCAACGGAUACCCUUCGGGGCUAGCCGCCUGAUCUCUAAUUGGUGUUGGGUUACGGAUAGCAUGCUGACCGUGAUCUAAUUACUGGUUAAAAGGUUAGAGUGUGCAUAAAUUCCC